CUAUCAAAUUCUUUUACAUCUCUAUCUAUAGGAACAUAAAAGGGGUUUGAAUUCAUGACACCCUCUUUGGAGGAGAGAAAUGACUACCAAUUAUGCUAUGACUUAGAUACAGUGCAUAAGAGAGAAUACUUAAUUGCUAGGAAAUAAGUUAAUAAAGGAGUAGCUUCAUCAAAUCCUAAUACACAUCUAGUUUAUUCUUGCUGAAAACUUCUUGAAAGAGAUAGUAUAGUGCUGUUAAUCACAUCUGUAGAAAGUGCUAUUCUGCAGCAAAUUGAUGCAGUAAUCUCAGUUCUUUUUCUUUUGGUUUCAGGGGUUCAAUAUCCCCCCAAAGGCUGGAGCUUUGGCUUCUAUUAGAAUGUUUGCUGUAAUUGUAUCUGAAAUUUGGAAGCAAAUUGAGACUGCUCUUCAGUCUAAUGAUACUUGAGAUUUAGUUCUCUUGUCUCAUGGGAAGUCUACCAUUAGUUGUUGUUGGAUAUAUAUAGUCAAAGUUAAUCCUGAUAGAAAAAUUGACCACCUAAAAGCACGUCUUGUUACUAAAUGAUACACUCAAAUUUUUGGGCUAGACUAUAUGAUACUUUUUCUUUAGUGGCUAAGACUGCUUCUAUCCUACUAUUGAUACAUUAGCUACAAUUCACCAUUGGCCACUUCAUCAGCUUGACAUAAAAAAUGCCUUAUGUGGAGAGUUAGCAAAAGAGGAAUAUAUGGAACAAACACUAGGAUUUGUUGCUCAGGGGAAGUCUAACUUGGUAUGUCAACUAUGUCAAUCUCUUUAUGUGUUAAAGAAGUCCAUAAAGGCAUGGUAUACCAUUGUCCAAAAUUUGAGAUGACUCAAAGUGCUAUGUCAAUCUCUUUAUGUGUUAAAGAAGUCCAUAAAGGCAUGGUAUACCAUUGUCCAAAAUUUGAGAUGACUCAAAGUGAAGCCGACCAUUUAGCAUUUUUUUUAUUAUACUUCUCAUGGCAUCUGCAUCUAUUUGGUGAUAUAUAUUGAUGAUAUUGUUAUAAUAGGUAUAAUCAUGAUGGUAUUACUCAACUAAAACAAUGCCUCUUCAGUCACUUUCAAAGCAAAGACUUUGGUAAACUAAAGUAUUUUCUGGCAUUGAGCUAGCAAAAUCCAGUAUUGGUUUUGCAAUUUUGCAAAGGAAAUAUUUGCUGGAUAUACCGAAGGAAACUAGUGUACUAGAUUGCAAACAUGUAGAUAAGCUCAUGUAUCUAAUGUCAAAAUUGUUCAUAGGCAGGGAGCCCUUCAUAAAUCCUAAAAGAUAUCAAAGACUUGUUGGGAAACUCAGUUAUCUAAUGAUCGCUUGAAUAGAUUUUUUCUUUUGUUGCUAGUGUGGUUAGUGAAUUUUCCCAUACUCAAUGAGAUAGUUACUGCGAUAUAGCAACCCAAAUUCUUAGGUAUAUUAAAGGAGCU
rnacentral:misc_RNA from 1 species